UACGGAGGGUGCAAGCGUUGUCCGGAAUUAUUGGGCGUAAAGAGCUCGUAGGCGGUUUGGCAAGUCUGCUGUGAAAUUUCGGGGCUCAACCCCGAACUUGCAGUGGGUACGGGCAGACUAGAGUGUGGUAGGGGAGACUGGAAUUCCUGGUGUAGCGGUGAAAUGCGCAGAUAUCAGGAGGAACACCGAUGGCGAAGGCAGGUCUCUGGGCCACUACUGACGCUGAGAAGCGAAAGCAUGGGGAGCGAACAGG
rnacentral:rRNA from 1 species